rnacentral:rRNA from 1 species
CGCGUAGGCGGUCCUGUAAGCGGCGUGUGAAAGCCCGGAGCUCAACUCCGGAACUGCAUGCCGAACUGCAGGGCUAGAGGACGAGAGGGGAGUAUGGAACUCUAGGUGGAGCGGUGAAAUGCGUAGAUAUCUAGAGGAACGCCGGUGGCGAAAGCGAUACUCUGGCUCGUCCCUGACGCUGAGGCGCGAAAGCGUGGGUAGCAAACAGGAUUAGAUACCCUGGUAGUC